rnacentral:lncRNA from 1 species
GAGCAAGAAAGGAAACUGGAAAACCCAUCCCCAUGGGACCACACCUGGCUAGUGGACUGGCUGUAACUGGAUCUGAAGAGCAACACAGAAGAAGGUCACAUAGCUUCUUGCAGUAAUUGAGGGAAUUCCAUCCUGAUGUGUCUUUCUUGUCCCAAUGUGUCCUCGACUGCUGCCUGGUUCUUGUGUUAUGGAUUCCUGCCUGGUUCCUCUCCUCCACAGCCAUCCACGUACCAGAACGAUGAUGCCACAACUAAAGAAUGCUCUAGUACAGAAUGUCUUACAUUCCCCCAGCUUAUCAUUAUUACCAGAGUGGUCAGUGAAAAUCUUCAGCCUCUUAAAACCAAUAAAAUGUACGUGGGUCCUGGGAAUUUUGACUGGCUUCUAGCAAACGACAAUUUGAAAGCCAUUAUUUUUCGCACAAGUACAACUUUAGCUACUUAAUGUUACAGUGACACUGGCUCCUUUUCUAGAUUACAUUCAUGCAGAAGCGUUUAUCUGCCUUGACCUUGAUAUUGCAUGAAGCAAAGUCUGUAAAUUCGAGACAACAUACCAGCCUAUACCAAUAGGGCCAUUGCCAUUGCUCAGGGUAGUCUUCCCAGUAGGGCCCUAAUGUAGCUUCCUAUCACCCAGCACUAUGGGAAGUCAUUGCCAGACAACUGGAAUUGGCACUCUUUGGAAAAGAAAGUAUAAUGGGCUUGAAAAAAGUAAUCAUUAUCUUCUUUUACUGGAAUAGUACCUUACAGCUUAGCAAGUGUUUUCAUGUUUAUUUGGAUGUCACGAAAACUGUGAACUAGGCAAAGUGGUUAUUACAAUCUCUAUUUUGCUGGUGGAAAUAGAAGCUCAGAGUGACUUUUUUCAAGUCAGUAUGCUUCACAAUUUGGAAUAGAAACCAGUCUUAUAAACUCUGACUUGAGUGUUCUAUCUAUGACACCCCUGCCCUCAUGAAUGUAUUUGCACAGAUAAGUCAGGGGAGAAAAAUCCCAAGCACAGAGUGAUGUCUACUUGGAAGGAAGGAAUGCUUGUCUUCCAUGAUGUCCUUCAUGACCUUUAUGUAAGAAAACUAGCCCUGCCAUGCAUAAUGCCCCAGGCUUUUUAUGGAGUCCCCACACUCAUAACACAUUACUGCAUACAUUUGUUGAUGUAUCUGUCUCUUCUGAUUAUGCACUCCAUAUAGGGUAUGUCCAAGUUUCUUUAGGUUUUGGCACACAGCAGGUUCUCAAUAAAUAAAUCAUAGCACUAGCUAAAAUUUAUAGC